GGCUAGUCCACAGGUAGUGAGUUAUCUCAAGUGAUUGUUCAUAGUCACAGGUUGAAUGCCUUAUUCUACUUUUUCUCUUCUCACUACUGCAUUUGACUAGUAAAA
ensembl:misc_RNA Y_RNA Y RNA